GAUGAACGCUAGCGGCGGGCCUAAUACAUGCAAGUUGAACGGGAUUGUUGAUAGCAAUAUUGACAUGAGAGUGGCGCACGGGUGCGUAACACGUAUGUAACCUACCUUUAACUGGGGCAUAGCUUCGAGAAAUCGAAAUUAAUACCCCAUAACAUUUAGAAAAGGCAUCUUUUCUUUAUCAAAGCUCCGGCGGUUAAGGAUGGACAUGCGGUGCAUUUAGCUUGUUGGUGAGGUAACGGCUCACCAAGGCUACGAUGCAUAGGGGGUCUGAGAGGAUGAUCCCCCACACUGGUACUGGGACACGGACCAGACUCCUACGGGAGGCAGCAGUGGGGAAUAUUGGACAAUGGGCGAAAGCCUGAUCCAGCAAUGCCGCGUGAGUGAUGAAGGCCUUAGGGUUGUAAAGCUCUUUUACCAGGGAUGAUAAUGACAGUACCUGGAGAAUAAGCUCCGGCUAACUCCGUG
rnacentral:rRNA from 1 species